rnacentral:lncRNA from 1 species
CUACAGUGACUAAAGAAGGUGGAUCUGAAGUAUCAGUACUUUAGUAAAAUUAAAUACCCAUUUUAGCUUACAUCUUAUCAAUGUGAAUAAACCCAGUUACUGUAUUAGUAUAGUAGAUCCAUUUUUUCUUCUAUAGAUCUCAGUUCCAAUUGUCUUCAGCUAAAGAGAAAACCCAAAAAAAAGAGAGGAAAAAAAUGGCAAGGCAAUCUGGGACUUGCUUAAGAUGUUGUUUAGUAAUUUUUGCUGUAGUUUCAGCUCUUUGUGUAUCUGGUCCUGCUAUUUAUUGGAAAUUUAAGAAGGGUUUAAGGUUAAAAGCUGCUCAAUCUUGUUUGCCUUGUAAAUGUGAUUGUUCUCCUCCACUUUCACUUCUUGAAGUUGCUCCUGGUAUGUGAAUUUUCAGCUUUUUUUUAGAUCCAAGAUCCUAUUUUUAUGCAUUAUUUAUUUGAAGAUCUUACUUUGAUAAGAUUUUAUUUUGUUUCCUUUUCUGGGUUUUCUUUAUUUAGUUUAUUAUUUUGUGUAUUGUUAGUUUUGUUGUAAGUUUGAGGAUCUUGUCCUUGAUGUGUUUUUCAGGUUGAGGUUGGAUUGUGAGUUGUGAAUUUAAGUUAUAUGCACUGACAGUGUAAACGGUAUAUGAUUUUUCAGCUUUUUUUUAUAUCCAAGAUCCUACUUUUAUGCAUUACUUUAUGAAAAAAGAUCCUGUUUUUAUAUGCUUUUAUUCGGUUUCCUUUUCUGGGGUUUCUUUAUUUGAUUCGUUAUUUUGACUGGUGUUAGUUUUGUUGUAAGUUUCGAGGGUCAAGUUUGAGGAUCUUGUCCUUGGUGUGCUUCUCAGGUUGAGGUUGGAGUUAUAUGCAGUGACAGCGUAAAGAUUUUUUUUAAAGAAGUAAAUUUUAACAUGUGAUAGCUAAUUUACCUGUAAUUACCUAAUAAGUGAUCUGAUUGUGUGAAUAUGUUUUACACUGUCGGUGCCUAAAACUUAAACUCUUUGUUAUAAUGUUUCGAUUGAGGGGAAAUUUUUGGUUGCAUGUUAAAGAUUUGUUAGGUAUCUUCUUAAUUAUCCUGUUCACUGAUUCUUGGUUCUUGGUAAGGUAGGAUGCCGGUGAGAAGCAGAUUAUAGAAUUGUUACUGGAUUUGGUUGGCCUUAUGACCCUUCUGGUCUAUCUCUUUUGUUGCACUGAUUGUGUUAAAAAAAUGUGAUUUUUGGUUAUGUGAGAGCGAGUAAACAAAAAAAGGUCUAAGGAAGUGAACCUGUCUUCAGUAUCGGGUUUGGUCGAUGUAAUCAGUUAAGCUAGGAUCAGAUGCAGAUCAAAAAAUGAAGGUGCGCGAUGGGAUUUAUUGUGCUUUUGCAUUUGGGUUAAACCCAGAAAAGCAAAACGGAUGAAUGAAUGCUUUCAUUAACUACUUGUUCCCCUCACACCUUAUCAAAAACUUCAUCACCUCGCAAAAUGUAGGAAUGAAGGUCUUGCCUCUAACAAAAUCAGACAUUAUUUAGAUAACAUAAAUGGCUAAUCUUAUGAUUAUUGCUUGAGCUUUGUGAAGAUUGAGGUCAGAUUGAAUGUAGUAGAAGCUUAUGUGAAGCUUUGAUUGAUAGACUCUGAUACCGUGUAGGAAAGUAAGUACCUAUUUAGAGUUUAAGGGAAUGUUGCAUAGGAUAUUUUCCCUGAGUUGUUUUGCUUCUGUAAAGACUUUUGAGCUGUGGUAGGUACUAUCACAAACAGCUCUCAGGUUCGGUUUUUCCUUCAUGGUUUUGGAGUCUGUUGAUCAAGCCUCGCUUUAAGUUUCUACUUUUUUGGCCCCAUAAUUAAGCAAACUAUGAAGAAAAUGAGAGAAAUCUUUUCGUGACACUCAACUUAAUGGCUCCUUCUAAUUUUAGUGAAAUCCUGAUUUUCUUAAAAAAUAAAUGGAGUAUUUGGAUGAAGUUGGUCCGAGUGAAGCGGAAUGGGUAUAGAGGAUUAUGCAGACGACACCAGCUAGUUUCGGUUUGAGGCAUAGUUAUUUUGUUGUGGGAUUUGAAGAAUCUGUCUUUGCUGAAAACUAAGGGCUGAAAAUGUAAGACUUCAAUUACACAACAUUUAGAUAAUGUUCAUUAAUCAAUCCUUAUAUUCUUUCCUGAAUGCCUUAAGAAGUACAACGUAAAGCUUCCAUCUGAAUCGUGUUUUUCAAAGAAGUACUAUGCAGAGUCUCCGUCCUGGAUCCACUUUUCAAUGGUUCUUGAGAAGCGGAUGAACUUCUGAAAAAGUACCAAGCAACACCUCCUCAUUCGUUCUCUUUUGCAGCUUUGCUGAUAAAUGAUAACAAACUAGCACAAAAACAUGUAACGGGGAUAUAAUGAUGUGUUCGUAAAGUGGCAUUAGUAAGGGAAUCCUUUCUUUUUUGCAAGGGACAUCUUAUC